rnacentral:rRNA from 1 species
AUUGAACGCUGGCGGCAGGCCUAACACAUGCAAGUCGAGCGAGCGGCGGACGGGUGAGUAAUGUAUGGGGACUUCCCGAUAGUGGGGGAUAACUACUGGAAACGGUGGCUAAUACCGCAUACUAUCGGAUACCCCCUAUGGGAUUAGCUAGUAGGUGGGGUAAAGGCUCACCUAGGCGACGAUCUCUAGCUGGACUGAGAGGAUGAUCAGCCGCACUAGGACGGGGACACGGCCAAGAGUCCUACGGACGCAGCAGUGUGGAAUAUUGCACAAUAGGGGCGAGCCUGAUGCAGCCAUGCCACGUGUAUGAAGAAGGCCUUAGGGUUGUGAAGUACUUUCAGGGGGGGGGCGUUAGCCGCAGAAGAAGCACCGGCUAACUCCGUGCCAGCAGCCGCGGUAAUUC